UGGAUUUGUGUCUGUCAAAUGUAACGACUCCACCACCAGUUGGACUUUAAUGGCAGCGGCCACACAACGAGAAGUGUCUUAUUGAACAGGCUUCUGGAGUGAUUUGUAGGAGGUGUCUGAGGUCUGCAGAGUCGUAUGCUGGACAAGAGUGGACCAGAAUGAAUAAAAGCUCCUUCUUCCCUAGUGUGAGUUUGGAUGGUAACGGUGGCAGCAUGACAUCAUGGAUAUACGCGACUCACCUAUUUCUUUUCGUUUUCCUGAGCACGAUCGGCCUAUCAGAGGAGGGCUGUGAUGAAUAUUUUCAAAUGAAGGACUGGGGAGGAAAGCUGAAUGAAACGUUUGGCCUCGUGAGAACUAAGGAUUCCAAGUACACAAUGGAAUGUACUGCGGAGAAUGAGUGCCUGAACAACAGCAACUUAGGAUGUAAUUUGCUACAUCAAUGCUUUUUGCGGAAAGAUGAUUUAAAUAAUACGAAGAGUGAAAAGUGUAAAGGGGAAAUUUCUCACAAUGUCCAUUACUAUCACUUCAUGUGCUUGACGGCCCAAGCUAUCAACCGCACUUACGAAGGCUGCGAAUACGAAAACGAAUGCAAGACCUAUUCAGAAAUAGUAUCCACUGUUGUUGAUCAGACAAAAACAUUGCCCCCACCAACAACAACAACAACAACAACAACAACACUGCCUCCAACAACAACAUCAACAACAUUGCCACCAUCAACAACAUUGCCACCAACAACAACACUGCCUCCAACAACAACAACAAUAACAACAACAGUAUUGUCACCAUCAAUAGCAGCAUCGCCACCAACAGCAACAACAGCAACACUCGCACAGAGCGCAGUUAGCCGAAUAAAUGCCGAGACCUUAACCCUGAAGAUGUUAUUAGUGCUGUCUGUGGUCGUCAAUGUGAUCUCUCUGGCUGUUUACCUGUACAAGCGCCAAACGUGGAGACAGGAGAGGAUACAGUGGGCAGACACACCGCUGCCCUCUACAAAAGGGGAGGUAGAGACCACAUAUUUAAUGAAGCCUUUUGGGUGUAACUCCGUCCUCACAUAUUCAAUUGAUGAUGAUGAUAGGAAAAGUGUUGCUGUUGAAGAGGACAAGCAGCAUUAAAGACCCUACUCACCGUAGAUCUUAAUGAAACACAGCUGUGGGAUGUGACAAAUGCCAGUGAAGGGCAAUAGUUUGCAAAUACCUUGGGCCCCAGACUGAAAGUGAACAAGCUGCAACAUGCCUGCUGCUACAUGCCUGCUGCAACAUGCCUGCUGUCUCAGCCGCGGAAGUUUGAUUGUGAUGAAGAUGAAGCUGAAAUGCUGGUCGUGCGCCAAAGAAAGAACAUUUGAAAUGCAUCUAUAUGUGAGCUGCCCAGAGAUUUAUAUUUAUUAUAAUAAAAUGUUAUAAUAACGCAGUCUGAUCCACAGCAUUUUGACCAAUCUUUCAUAAACUGUAAAAACAACCUGACGUUUAUGUGAAAAGUUAUUUAAAACGUAGUUAUUCUGGAUAGGUUCUCCCUCAGACGAGCUUCACAAAUAGAAGCUCUUUGUGUUUAAUGUCAAAUAAACUGUCCACUUAAACAUAUAUAUUCUUUGGACAUGUUACAAAUGGCUCUCAAACAAAUGCAUAUCUAAUACAAAUGAUUUAUGUCAUUUUCUUUUCUGCCAUCCAGAACAAAUGUCAAUAUCUUAUCAGUUGAUAACAUAGAAAUAUCAUUUCAUAAUCAUAACAUACCACCCAUCUGCCUCUCAUAAAUUUGGCAUUUAGCAAGUGUUGUGCUUUGCUUGUAUAUUUUUUAUUAAGUCAUCCAGUUUAUUUAUGGAGCUUUUAACAGACUGAAGAAGAUUGUCCCAGUGUGUCUGCAUGUGUGUAUGUAGGUGAGGUUUUAAUACACGCAGCCAGGAUGAAAGUACUUGUGCAUACAGCUUAGUGUUUAAUAAUAACAGACUGAAGUAUGAGAAAUGUGAGGAGGCGGAAAGAAUGUCACUGGUUGAGAUAAUUACUAAAUUACUUUUGUUUUUCACUCACUUCAGUUAAAGCUGGCCCGUUAGUUCGCUGAGGUUCAGCUCCUCGCUUGUAGUUGUUCCAUGAGACCAGCAGUAGUUGCAUUACAUUAAAGGUCUACAUUAAAAUAAAAAAUGUUCUACUGAUUAAAAGUUAACUCUCGAAAACAAAAGAUCGUUGAGUAUUCAUCAUUUUGGCAGCAUGUUUCAGAGAUAAAGUGGAGUGUGCUCAAUCCUGUUAUGAAAAGCAAACGAAACAUCUAAGUGAUGCCAGGUCUGUUUGUAUUAUUUAACUCCUUUGGUACUUUUUGCAUUGUAUGUUUGUAUUGUAAAAUGUAUUGUGAAAAUGGGAAGAAAUGUAUUCUUACUGACUGUACAAUGUGUUUUGUGUAUAAUUGUUAUGUGUUUAUAGCUGACCAAAGUUCUACACAUAACAGCUUUAAUAUGUGCAUACAUCAUGACAUACCUUAACAAAUAAAGUCAUAAUAAUCUGA